rnacentral:lncRNA from 1 species
UGGUGAGCCUCGCGAAUCAACACCGGCUUCGUCUGAACCGUGCCAUGCUGGUGGGUCUCGUACAUCGUCCGGCACUACCUGCACUGGUAACACUCCCUGCGGAGGAAUGAAGUCACCGUCGUGGAAAUUUCGUCGCACCAUCAAACGCCUGCAGUCAUGGGUCGCC